AUUGAACGCUGGCGGCAUGCCUUACACAUGCAAGUCGAACGCCAAAGCGAGGGGCAACUCUUGCGAGUAGCGUGGCGCACGGGUGAGUAACACAUCGGAACGUAUCCACGAGUGGGGGACAACCAGUCGAAGAUUGGCUAAUACCGCAUACGCUGGGGACAGGAAGCGGGGACGGUCACACCGGCCUCGCGCUCGCGGGGCGGCCGAUGUCCGAUUAGCUAGNGGCGGGGUAAGAGCCACCAAGGCUGCGAUCGGUAGCGGGUCUGAGAGGAUGAUCCGCCACACUGGGACUGAGACACGGCCC
rnacentral:rRNA from 1 species